rnacentral:rRNA from 1 species
GAUGAACGCUAGCUGCAGGCUUAACACAUGCAAGUCGAGGGGAAACGCCAUCGAAAGCUUGCUUUUGAUGGGCGUCGACCGGCGCACGGGAGAGGAACGCGUAUCCAACCUGCGCAUCACAUGGGAAUAAGCUUGCGAAAGUAAGACUAAUACACAAUGACAUCCCACGAAGACAUCUGAAUGGGAUUAAAGAUUUAUCGGUGAUGGAUGGGGAUGCGUCUGAUUAGCUAGUUGGCGGGGUAACGGCCUACCAAGGCAACGAUCAGUAGGGGUUCUGAGAGGCAGCUCCCCCGCAUUUGAACCACGGCCCAGACCACAAUCCUACGGGACGCAGGAGUAUGGAAUAUUGGGCAAUGAGCGAGAGCCUGACCCAGCCAAGUAGCGUACAGGAUGACUGCCCUAUUGGUUGUAUACUGCCUGUAUAAGAGAAUAAUGUGGGUAUCGUGAGACUUUUUGCCUGUACCUUAUGAAUAAGCACCGGCUAACUCCGUG